rnacentral:rRNA from 1 species
UGGGGAAUUUUGGACAAUGGGGGAAACCCUGAUCCAGCCAUCCCGCGUGUGCGAUGAAGGCCUUCGGGUUGUAAAGCACUUUUGGCAGGAAAGAAACGUCAUGGGUUAAUACCCCGUGAAACUGACGGUACCUGCAGAAUAAGCACCGGCUAACUACGUGCCAGCAGCCGCGGUAAUACGUAGGGUGCAAGCGUUAAUCGGAAUUACUGGGCGUAAAGCGUGCGCAGGCGGUUCGGAAAGAAAGAUGUGAAAUCCCAGAGCUCAACUUUGGAACUGCAUUUUUAACUACCGAGCUAGAGUGUGUCAGAGGGAGGUGAAAUUCCGCGUGUAGCAGUGAAAUGCGUAGAUAUGCGGAGGAACACCGAUGGCGAAGGCAGCCUCCUGGGAUAACACUGACGCUCAUGCACGAAAGCGUGGGGAGCAAACAGG